rnacentral:rRNA from 1 species
CCUACGGGUGGCUGCAGUGGGGAAUAUUGCGCAAUGGGGGCAACCCUGACGCAGCAACGCCGCGUGUUUGAAGAAGGCCUUCGGGUUGUAAAGAUCUUUAAUUGGGGACGAAACAAAUGACGGUACCCAAAGAAUAAGCUCCGGCUAACUACGUGACAGCAGCCGCGGUAAUACGUAGGGAGCAAGCGUGAUUCGGAGUUACUGGGUGUAAAGGGCGGGUAGGCGGGCUGGUAAGUUGGGAGUGAAGUCCCGGGGCUUAACCCCGGAACUGCUUCCAAUACUGCUGGUCUUGAGUGAUGGAGAGGCAGGCAGAAUUCCGGGUGUAGCGGUGAAAUGCGUAGAGAGACGGAGGAAGACCAGUGGCGAAGGCGGCCCGCUGGAC